rnacentral:lncRNA from 1 species
CCAGGAAGCGCCUGCGCGGAGCAGUGGGAAGGUCACGGCCCGGCCGGGCCCUAGCUGUGCUCCGGCCCACGCCAAACUGGAGGACCCUGCUUAAUCCAAGAUCGCCAAUGAGGAGUCAGUAGAGUCCUGAGAGUCAGUUCUAACGCUUCAAGAGGAUUUUAACUCUCUUUCCCCUCUCAGUCCCCAGGAACUCAUGCUCCGCUCGACGUUGGCUUCCGCGGAACAUGAACCUACAAGCUUGAAGCCGCCCCUUCUCCCCACCGCCAGCCCUCACCAGUGUAGUGUGCCUGUCCUCAGUUGAAAGAUGAGCCAAGUGAGAAUGUUGGAUGAAGGAACCAAAUUGAUAUUCAUCAUCCUAUUGAAAACAACUCAGAUCCACAGGUCUUCUGAUGGCAGUCUGUGGCUGAACCAUGUGAAUGAAAGUUGGGCAGGUUCAAGGAAAAGGCAGGAAGUGGGCUUUCUUUGUCACAAGGAAAAGCCAGGAGAGUCAAUGAGUCGACAGCAUGAUUUCAGCACUGCCUUUGUUCAAAGACAUAGACUGCAACUCAGUAGGAAUAUAGAACUACCAUGGGCCACACAUGUGCAAGACUUUCCUGCCAGUCAGGGGACCAGAGAAAUGCUGGUCUCGCAGAGCCAGCUAGCGUGUCUCUACAUGAAGAUGGCAGCGGACACCUUUUUGAGAACAAGGAAAUCCCAGCGGAAGGAAGGAUCUAUCAGUUGCUCCUGUUUCAUGCCAAGAAUUCUAAUUUAUGUGGUUGGGGUUAUAAUAACCCCCAUUUCACAGUGAUGAAGAGGGUAAGACAUUAUUCCACGGCCACAUGCAGCUGGAGGAGAGAAGGUAUAUGGAAAUAUUCCUUAUGAGUGACACAAAGUGCUAUAUGAAUUCUGAGAAAAAUAAAAUUUUCAAAAGACUUGAUCA